rnacentral:rRNA from 1 species
GACGAACGCUGGCGGCGUGCCUAAUACAUGCAAGUUGAGCGCUGAAGGUUGGUACUUGUACCAACUGGAUGAGCAGCGCACGGGUGAGUAACGCGUGGGGAAUCUGCCUUUGAGCGGGGGACAACAUUUGGAAACGAAUGCUAAUACCGCAUAAAAACUUUAAACACAAGUUUUAAGUUUGAAAGAUGCAAUUGCAUCACUCAAAGAUGAUCCCGCGUUGUAUUAGCUAGUUGGUGAGGUAAAGGCUCACCAAGGCGGUGAUACAUAGCCGACCUGAGAGGGUGAGCGGCCACAUUGGGAGUGAGACACGGCCCAAACUCCUACGGGAGGCAGCAGUAGGGAAUCUUCGGCAAGAGACGAGAGUCUGACCGAGCAACGCCGCGGGAGUGAAGAAGGGUGUCGGAUCGUAAAACUCUGUUGGUAGAGAAGAACGUUGGUGAGAGUGGAAAGCUCAUCAAGUGACGGUAACUACCCAGAAAGGGACGGCUAACUACGUG